ensembl:lncRNA LINC02846 long intergenic non-protein coding RNA 2846
AGCAGGGGCAGGAGGCAGGGCGGGGAGGGCAGAGGGGUCAGGGCUGAGGAGGAGAAGCAGGGGCAGGAGCGGUGAGGAAGAGGGGCAUUUGGUCGAGGUUGGGUCAGGUAAGGACACGGUGGUAGGCAAAGGCCAGGGGGCAGGUGGGGUGCCUGGGAGGUCCGUGGUCAGAGGAUGGGUGCUGGUGGGGCCUGGAGAUGGCGGUGCUGCCUCCACCCUCCUGAGCCUGGAGGCCUGACAAUUGCAUCCGAAAAAUCCACAGCCACCAUCGUGUCAGCAGCACGUUGACCAUGGCUCACGACAUGGGGACGGGCAUUCUUGCCGCUUCCUCAGAAUAUUAACGACGGUCCCAGCAGAAUGCUGUAUGAAUAUUCAUAUGGAGCUCAAUCAAGCCUGGGCUGGCGGAUGGCACAGGGAGAGGCGCCGUGACAGGCUGGGCCCGGGUCCCAGUGGGCACACCUUGGCAGGGUGUGGCCGUAAGUCUCCGCCAGCUCCAGCCAGGAUCUGCCUCCCUCGGGAUGGGACAGGCCUGGGCCUGUUGUAUGGCCACAGGCAGAAGAGGCCGAUGAGUGACAUGACAUCACCACUUAGUGACUGCCCUCGUCCUGGGAGCCCAGAUGCUGGGGCGGGGCUCCUUCCUGAAAGACCCAGAGAAGUUCAUCUCAGGUUUAAUGGGGGCACUGCUGCCUCAGAAGCCAGGCAGUGGGUGGUGAGGUCCCUGUCCUCACUGGGGUCUGCAGCCGAGGAGGACUGGCCACCGAGGCCCAGGCCAGGCACAGGGAUGCUGGGUGGCCAUGGCCAGUCCUCCCGGGAGCCCCUAGCACCUUGGGCCUGCCCCCAGCUCUCACGCCGGGAGAGGUUUUUUCCCACUCCGGUGGCCGACGCCCUGGUGAAGGGAUUCGCAGAACGGGAGCACAUGGAUUUCCAGUUCUUCCCAGCGGGCGCACGUAGGCCGGCACCCUCUCUCUCGUCUUUGGGCAGAACUCGAGUGCUGCUAGACCCUUGGCCCCGCUCACUGCGCUGGGCCGCACUGCACCCAUUUCCUCCCAGCAAGGGCGGUCCCUGGACUCCUCUGACCUGAACUGCUUCCGAGUUUGCUUCUCAGAACCAAGAGGGGCUGGCUCUGCGCCCUGCCUACCUGUCCAGGGGUGGGGGCUGCCCUUUGAAGCUAUCAAUCUGGGUUUUAAGUGUGGAUUCAUUAUUGACAACACCAUGACGUUAUGCUGACAUGAAUUAUUUGUAUGUUUUUCAAAUUGUGCUGUGAUAACCCUGGC